AUACGGGGGGAGCAAGCGUUGUCCGGAAUUACUGGGCGUAAAGGGCGUGUAGGCGGCUUGGUAAGUCAGAUGUGAAAGCCUUCCGCUUAACGGAAGAACUGCAUUUGAAACUGUCGGGCUUGAGUGCGAGAGAGGGUAGUGGAAUUCCCAGUGUAGCGGUGAAAUGCGUAGAUAUUGGGAAGAACACCAGUAGCGAAGGCGGCUACCUGGCUCGUAACUGACGCUAAGGCGCGAAAGCGUGGGGAGCAAACGGGAUUAGAUACCCCGGUAGUCC
rnacentral:rRNA from 1 species